rnacentral:lncRNA from 1 species
GAUCCCUUGGGUCAAUGCGUACAAUGCAUACAUGUCCACCCCUAGUUGUCUUCCUAUGAAUUGAUUACCCUAAUCUCAUGUUGGACUUGGCAUUGGAUCCUAGCCUACAAAUAGUGCAUCUGCUAUAGUGUCCCGGGAUCCUGCUGCAUGCAUCUAGUCCCUGCUCAUCAAUGGCUUCCGCUAACGGCGCCAUGCUUAGGAAGGCUAUUCCUGUUGCCGCCUGCAUCGUGCUUGUCUUACUGUCCAUGGGUCCUCCGGUGAUGGCCGACAUACAGGAUGAAUGCCGCGCGGCUUGUCUUCCUCCCUGCAAUGACUUCGUUUCCGAUGCGUGCAAUAUCGUCACUCGUAUCGCCCCUGUACUUCAACUCAAGAAGUCCUUCUUACGGGAGUGCAAAGAGCAAGUCUCUCCAGUUUGUGUUCCCACCUGCAUCAGGUUCUGCAUCGGCUUCAGCAUGCUGCCUGGCGCCCCAACACCGGCGCCGGCCAGCACCGCCGCGCCACCACCAUGCAAGCCAUGAUGCUGCCUGCGUGUUACUUCUUAAAUAUUACUAAUACAUAAUAUCUAUGUAAUAAAGUGUCCUAUAGCUCCGGCUAUGUGCCAACUGCCGGCCAGAUGAAGCAUGCCUGUAAUGCGUUGUCAUCGGUGUUCAUGAGCUAAGCCUCAGAAUAUGUAUCUGAUCCGGUGUUUUAAUGGGAGUAUAAAUUGCCCCCUUAUUGUUCUGGUUGUUUUCUAGUUACUCAUCUCUGUGUGCAGAACUCUAUACUCCCUGUUGGGAAACCGAUCUCCGUGUUGAGUUCUUUGUCUUCCAGUGUCUAGAGUCUAAGACCUUGGAUAAAGAUCGAAGGUGAUGUGGCCCUUUGGAGAAAAGACAAAGGCUUUCAAUUCAUUAGGUGAUAUGGUAGGUUUCACUCUCCUAAAGCAGAGGAGACUUCACUAGAUAAGCGAGAGAGGUUUCGCCGAUCAAACCGGAUGGGCUUCGCUUGUCAGAAGAGUGAAAGGUGUCAAGAAGUUACACGAACGUGUGUGGAGAGGAAGAGAAGAAGCUUCAGUGCAUAUACAUGUCACCAUGUUGUUGGUAAGUUGGGUUGGAAUACAAAUCUUCUGAAAAAAUUUUCUUCCAAACCGUGUAUUCAUUUCUAAAAUUGUUUGCACCAGUAUAUUAUUUAUGGUUCAUUCAACAAAACUAUAUCACACACAUAUAUAUUUUUAAAAAAAUAAAUGAAGAAAUAAAAAUUUUCAUUCUAAAUUAACUUUUUAUUCUGUCCGGAAUAUUUCUUUCUUGAUCACAAUUUUUUUCUUUAAAAAUAUUUGUUAUCAGAAAAGUUUUUAUUCUCGGUGGAACAUUUUUAUUCCUUCCAUGAAAAACUUGAUUUGAACAUUUUUUAUUAGCAAACAAUUUAUUUAAAUAAAAUAUGUUCUCAGAAUAUUUUUCUUGUGCCCACAUUUUUUUAUGUCUUUAUUCAUGGCCUAAAUAGUAAGCCCAAUUGCAUCGCUUUGUUGGACUUAGUGGGCUGACCUGUUUGUUUAAAAGCACCUACAUCUAGGACUUCCUCUAACUCCCCAGCCAAUGCUAUUUGUCAGUCAUUCAAUCUUUCACUCCAUACUUGGUCACCUUUUAGAUUGGUUCUACCAAGAGGGAUUCGUAGCCUUUUCUUGUCCUCGUGCUUCCUCGCGACCCAGACGCACAACACACCAUUAGGGUACAAGCACUAGCGUCCCUCUCCCCUCACGUCUCCAAUUUAGAUGAAUCAUUUUGGGGCUUUUACGCUGCCUAAUUCACCCCCAUCAGAUGGACCUAUAGGGCAGGAUAAUGAUUUGGCGUGUGGUGCAGAAUGGGGUGGUGAGCUAGGCUCACUCCUAGAGGCCAGGUAGGCUCCGUGCUCCCUGGACGAGGUGCAGCUGCUAGGCACCAUCCGCAAGGAUAUGGACUUUAUCCCGAACAAGAGGGAGAGCAUGGAUGGUGGGCUGCUCCACUGCUAUAAAAAUGAUUUGUAGGAGUUCAUCAAGAGUGGACGAAAACUUCAUCAACCUGUACCUAUUUUUAGAUGCACUGUAGCAACCCGCUCACCGAAAAAAUUAAUUUCCAGCCUCCCCCCCAAAAAAAUUUCUUUUUCAAAAUAUCAGUGCUAAAAUUUAAGCCACCCCGCGCCAUGCAAAUUGAAAAGGUUGCAUUGAUUGUGGGUGUUGCGCCCUCUCUUCUCUCUAUCCCUUGCCCCCCUGACUUAUCUCUCAUUCCCUAGUGUUGGGGGCAAAUAUUAACGACCUCCUAAUGCCCCUUAAAACAACAAUCAUGAAGGCCCAGGCCUACCUGCGGUAAUGACGAUUGCCGCCGGCCCAGCAUGGGCAGGGAACAUCCCGCUCCAUCUCGCCCGACCUAGGACCCUGGGGUCGGACACUCCCGACCUCUCGAUGGCAAAACUCCGCCUCACCCGACCCACAGUCCCAGGGUCGGAUGCGCCCGACCCCUCGCCGCAAGGUUUUGCCUCGCCCGACCCCGGGCGUAGGGGGUCGAACUCAUCCGGGCCUACAAGACAGGGGUCCACCUCGGGCGCGGAUCUUGUGGGCCCCUCACCGAUCUUGCCAUAAAUGUGCCGCAGCUCUGGCGCGUAGAAGGGCGCCCGCGCCCCUCAACGUGACCGCCACAAGUACCUGGGCGGAACACUGUAGCCACAGCUGCACAGGCUACAAUGGCCAUGGCUCCCCCUGACUCGCCGUAGGGCACUCAUGGCAUGCGCCGCCCAGCACAGGAGGGAGCUCCGCCCGUUCUCGCACCCCGCGUAUCCAGCGACAGGGACGUGACGUCUGUGUCCCACGGGCCAUAAGUAGGACAAUAGGGUCAUCCAUCUCACCCCAACGUGCACAGUUGCCGCGACCGAACACCAUCAUCAUGCUUGGCGGCAGCGGUCGCCAGGAAGAUCGUCGAUAGAAUCCAAAGAUAGCCGCCCUCCUCCGGUUGACGCGCUGACAGGAGCCGAAGGCCGGAGCAGGAGGCGGCGACCUGGGGACUUGGUCCUUCUCCUUGUAUUUUACUUUACUUAGUUUAUCUCUUUUACUUCUCCUCACACCUGGCUCAUCUGUAACCCUGGGCUCUCUUUGCCCUAUAAAAGGAGAACCGGGUGCCCUGAGACAGGAGGACACGGAAGCCAACAUAACACAAACACAUUCAUCCUUAGAGCAUCAGUGCACAUCCAAGAGACUUGGGACCGACUCCCUCUCUCGCCCGUUUGUACCCCCUACUACAGACCCCGCGUGGGCAACACGAGCGGCUCCUCAUACUGGACAUAGGGUCUUCCUUGCCCGAACCAGUCUAACCCCGUGUCUUCCCACGCCACCAUCCGAAGCUUUACGUGCAUAAAAAAAAUUUACUAGCUGUAGUCUUGAUCCGCUAAUUUUGACAACGACACUAGCUUCUUUAUCAUUUGUCUCCUACCCUUCCCCCCUCCCCCUAGCAGCGCGACAGCUCCUAGCUCAAGCUUAGAUCCGACUGUAAACUCUGUUGAUGUGUGUGUCAUUUCUCUGCUAGUUCCACAGGCAUCACGGGUAAGGACGAACCACCGUUUCUCUGUUGUAGACGAUGGCAUGCAUGGCGACGCCGAUAAGGAUUAUUAUCGCCAGCCUUAUCACAUUGUCACUAAACAUUUUUAAUACGUGAUGCAUCAGAUGACAUAAUUGUAUAUGCUGCAUACACAAAUAUAUAUAUGUCAGAAAGAUUAGUUGCAUAGUUUCACAUUGUGCAAAAGCUUACAGCUGGUUGUGAUUUGGACGACGGACGAUCCUAUGCCACCCCCUAUAAUUUUCAAUGUAAGUUAAGAUUCUAUAUCAAUGAUCGAGGAAAGCAAGCACCACCAUUCUGACACAUGUUCCUCCUCCUCACCAUGGUUGGGUGUCUAUCUCUAUCACCAGUGCCAAGGCUUUGUCCGUGCAUCCCAAGCCAGACCCGUCGCAGCUAGGCUUUUUCCUCCUCUCCAACGUGGCUCUCUUCGAGGCCAUCAGCUUUGAGCGCCGCUGCCCAUGGAUCUGUACCGCAACCUGGAGUGGUCAUCUUCCAAUUGCAUCUUCUACAGCCCCUACAUCAUAACUCUCUUCACCUUCGCCAACCUUGACGAUGAAGGCCACUUCAACCGGACCUUCACCGUCACCCAUGCCGAUGAGUACAACCUCUUCUUCGCCAGCUGCAUGCCAGAGGCCAAAGUCACCAUGGAGGUCCAGACCCACAUCUACAACACCAACCCAUAUCAUUCCGUCGGCAUGGCCUCCGUCCGCUCAAGCUCAUAUAAAACGUACCAUGGACAAAUGCAACGAAAAGCCAGGAGAGCAUAUGCCAGUGGUUCCAAAAGAGCAAAUUUUGGAUCAAACAAUAAAACUUGCUAACAUAUUUGGUAACAUAAUUUCAGUUGUUACCUUUUUUCAUAUAUACAUACGUAGGUGUUAUAAACGUGCACUGUUAUUUAGUGGGGUGUAAUUUUACCUAGUUGUUUUCUUAUUUUAGAUAAGCAUGUAUAAAGUAUGAUGAAAUUCUUCAAAUUUCUCUAUUAUCAUAGGUGUUUUGUUGACACAAGGAUUUAUUACUUAUUAGUAGAACAAUUAUUAUUUGUACAUUUAACUGAUGAAAAAAUAUCUACCGCAUAUUUAAGAUCAUGGCCGGUCCGGAUUCGGGUGGCAGAAAAUCCCAUUGCCACCCCCUAAUUUCAUAUGCCUAGAUUGACUAUGAGCGCUAAGUGUUAACUCCCUUCAGUCAACAAUACGGAUGCCUGUUAGAAACUAGCUCCCCAAGUGCUAGUACCCUUCCUCUGUUUCAAAUUUUUCGGUAUGGCAUUUCUAGAUAUAUAUAGUUUUUGCUAUAUAUGCAUCUAGAUAUAACGUAUAUCCAGAUGCAUAAUAAAAAUCGUGAAUCUAGAAAAGUUAAAAUAACCUAUAAUUUGGAACGAAAGGAGUAUUGUGAAAAAUAUGUGCUAGUUAGCUUUAUGUACAUUUAUUAUCGUAUCUACCACAGAUCUGUUGCGUAGAACAAUUGUGGACUCUCAAAAGGCCAUAGACGUUUGACAUCAGCUCAUACUCUGCAGCCUCUCUCUCUCUUUCUGUUGCAGCCAUCGUCGUGAUGAUGCAUGCGUGUUACUUCAUAAUAAUAUUGCUACUGCAUAAUCAUGAUGUCUCUAUCUUAAGAAAUUAUAACAAUGAUCAGGAAAAGAAAACAUCGCACCGUUUAUCCCAGGGGACCGAAAUUAUGAUUAUGCAAAUUAAAAUAGCAUGGUUUAGGUCUAUGAUAACACACGGCAUCUCAUAUAGAAAUCCUACGAAACUCAUCGUGGAGUCCUUCGGUUUUGACCACGUCUAUCCAUUUUGAAGGCAAGUUAAGAAAAAUCAUGGGAACUCAUAUGGUAACUCUUGCCCUCCAGCCGUAUACCUCAUUAUUCUACUUGAAUCCAGGUUACCUUGGAGGCUUUGGCCGCGCCAAGGAAUAUAGGUAAACCAUCACACUAAUUGUCCUAGACAGCCAACUGCCAAGUAUAGACAGCCUAGGAGAAAUAAUCUACUUGUCGGCUGACUACCAAGAAUUAUUUCCUUUGCUGUUUGCCUGCCGAGCAACGUUACAAAUUUCCAAUGUGUUAAGAAAAUAUUUCAACCGCUAACAAAAAAAACUAACUCAACGGUACGACGGUACUCAUUGGAAAUUAUUAGCACCCAAUGCAAGUAGUCAUUCUAUGUAUCCAAUUAGCUCUAUGCACAUUAAUUUGUUGACGUAUCAGCCACAGAUGACAUUGGACAGACUCGAUCGAUCGUUGCCUACAAAUAGCGCAGCAUGUGUUGUCCCAACAAGGCCAUCACUUAGCUGAUACUUCUCCCCUCUUCCUCUAGGUACCCAAGCUACAUCGAGUCCUGUUGAUCAAUGGCUUCUGCUAAUGGCGCCGUGCUUCAGAAGGUGGUUCUUGUCGCCACCUGCAUCGCGCUGGUCCUGUUGUCCAUGGGUUCGCCGGCGAUGGCUGACAUCCAGGACGACUGCCGCGCAACUUGCCGUCCUCUCUGCGAUGGCUUCAGUUCGGACGUGUGCAAUGCCGUCAUUGGCAUCGCCCCUACUAUCCUGAAUAAUCUCAACUUCUUCUUCACGACGUGCAAAGUGAGGGUCUCUGGGCUGUGCACUCCCGUCUGCGUCAACGUAUGCAGCCUCAACACCCUGUCGCCGGGCGCCCCGACACCGGCGCCGGCCAGCACCGCCGCGCCACCACCAUGCAAGCCCUGAUGCUGUCUGCGUGUUAACUUCUUAAAUAUUACUACAUAAUAUCUAUGUAAUAAAAUCUCCUAUAGCUCCGGAUAUGUGUGCCAACUGCCGGCCAGAUGAAGCAUGGCUGUAAUGCGUUGUCAUCGGUGUUCAUGAGCUAAGCCUCGGAAUAUGUAUCUGAUCCGGUGUUUAAUGGGUGUAUAAAUUGCCCCCUCAUACAAAGGUCGAAGGUUCUGUGGCCCUUUGGAGAAAAGGCUGAGGCUUUCAAUUCAUUAGGUGAUAUGGUAUGUUUCACUCUCCCAAAGCAGAGGAGACUUCACUAGAUAAGCAAGAGAGGUUUCACCGAUCAAGCUGGAUGGGCUUCGCUUGUUAGAAGAGUGAAAGGUGUCAAGAAGUCACACGAACGUGUGUGGAGAGGAAGAGAAGAAGAUUCAGUGCAUAUAUAUGUCACCAUGUUGUUGGUAAGUUGGGUUGGAAUACAAAUCUUCUGAAACAAUUUUCUUCCAAACCACGUAUUCAUUUUUAAAACUGUUUGCACUAGUACAUUAUUUAUGGUUAAUUCAACAAAACUAUAUCGCACACAUAUAUAUUUUUUAAAAAAUAAAUGUAGAAAUGAAGCUUUGGAAAGUUUUCUGUUUACUUGAAAUUUUUAUUCUAAAUUUACUUUUUAUUCUCUCCGGAAUAUUUCUUUCUUGAUCACAAUUUUUUUCUUUAAAAAUAUUUGUUCUCAGAAAAGUUUAUAUUCUUGGUGGAACAUUUUUAUUCCUUCCAUGAAAAAAUUGCUUGGAACAUUUUUUAUUAUGAAACAAUUUAUUUAAAUGAAAUAUUUUCUCAGAAUAUUUUUGUUGUGGCCACAUUUUUUUAUGUCUUUAUUCAUGGUCUAAAUAAUAAGCUCAAUUGCAUCGCUUUGUUGGACUUAGUGGGCUGACCUAUUUGUUUAAAAGCACCUACAUCUAGGACUUCCUCUAACUCCCCAGCCAAUGCUAUUUGUCAGUCAUUCAAUCGUUCACUCCAUACUUGGUCACCUUUAGAUUGGUUCUACCAAGAGGAUUCGUAGCCUUUUCUUGUUCUCCAUUCGAGCUUCCUUGAGACCAGACGCACAACACACCAUUAGGGUAGAAGCACUAGCGUCCCUCUCCCCUCACUUCUCCAAUUUAGAUGAAUCAUUUUGGGGCUUUUACGCUGCUUAAUUCACCCCCAUCAGAUGGACCUAUAGGGCAGGAUAAUGAUUUGGCGUGUGGUGCAGAAUGGCGUGUUGGGUGGUGAGCUGGGCUCACUCCUAUAGUCCAGGUAGGCUCCGUGCUCCCUGGACGAGGUGCAGCUGCUAGGCACCUAUACCUGAACAAGAGGGAGAGCAUGGAUGGUGGGUUGCUCCACUGCUAUAAAAAUGAUUUGUAGGGAGCUCCUAGUUCUUCUUCAGGAGUGGAUGAAAACUUCAUCCACCUAUACCUGUUUUUAGAUGCACUGCAGCAACCCGCUCACCCUAAAAAAUUAAUUUCCAGCCCCCCCUAAAAAAACUUUCUUUUUCAAAAUAUGAAUGCUAAAAUUUAAGCCCCCCCACGCCCAUGUAAAUUGAAAAGGUUGCAUUAGUUGUGGGUGGCACGCCCUCUCUUCUCUCUCUCACUUAUCUCUCCCCUCAUCCCCUUCCCUUCUCUCACUUAUCUCUCAUUCCCUACCUUCUCUGUCACUUUUUUGGAAUCGAAACACAUCGAAAUGGUACCAGCCGUACUUAAUAAUAGAAGGAUUUGUCUCCUCCCCCCCACCCCUAGCAGCGCGCCAGCUCCUAGCUCAAGCUCAGAUGCGACUGUAAACUCUGCCGAUGUGUGUGCCAUUUCUUUACUAGUUCCACAAGCAUCACAGGUAAAGACGAACCACCGUUUCUCUACCGUAGAUGAUGGCACGCAUGGCGACACCGAUAAGGAUUAUUAUUGCCGGCAUUAUCAGGUUGUCACUAAACAUUUUUAAUACGUGAUGUAUCCGACGACAUCAUUGUACAUGCUGCAUACACAAAUAUAUAUAUAUAUAUAUAUAUAUAUAUAUAUAUAUAUAUAUAGUAAUACUAUAUGGUGUCCUGGGUAGCCCUCUCCCACCGAGCUGCUCGCACCGCGUUCCGCUGGUUUUUUCUUUCGGUUUUUUUGGCUCGUUUUUUCUUAGUCGAUCCCACGUUUCCGAACUAAUCUAGAUCGUGUCUCCUCGGUCCGUUCAGUUCCUGGCAUUGCCGGUUCCAUAGUCGCCGCCCUCGCUCUGCCAACCGCGGCAGCGAUGUGCCGACCCCGGCCGCGACUCAUCGCUGCCGGCGCAAGGUGCCACUCAUGCCCUCGGCCACCCGAUUCCAGCACCCCAACGCCGCUAGCUUGCAAGUUGUUCUCAGUUCAUCCGCACAUCGUCAUCUUCAAUCCAGCAUUGGAAGGACUCCGUUGCCUGAAGAACAAAGCUGCUGCAGAUUUCGUUGGUCUUCGCCAUCGGUGAGCCCCGCCUCCAUUUGAAUUCUGAGUUCGCUGAUUCCCAGCAAGAGAUGAUCCUGAUUUGAUCUCCUCCGCACCUUCCAAUGGAGUCGCCUUCUUUAUCCGUGGCCAGCCGUCGUAUGUUUCCUGCCUGUGGCUGAGCUCGCGCGCGUCAGCAGAUCACUCCUCCAAGCCUUCCUCCUCCCGCUGUCCGUCUCAAACACCUUGCUGGUCGAGUAUCUGCUCGACAAUCUCCCCGCAGAUGCUCAUCUCGAGAUCAGCAUCUUAUCCAUCGAUCUCACCCACCCAUUCCUCUCCAGGUUCGGCAGUCGGCACCAAGAUUCUGUGGUGGCAUCAAUAGACGCGCAUGUGGAAUUUCAGGUAUAAAAGAGUCUAAGUCCAUCUUGUUCUUUCAUUUUACAAGUUUUAUUUUCAAUCGUGCUGUCAAGCGGCUGGUUUGCUUGAUUUGUUGAUUGAGAGAUGGUUGGCAUGCUUUGGUCAUUAAGUUGUGUUUGACGGAAAGAUACAUUUAUUUGGCGAAUAGCAUGUAUCUCUUUGCCGAUUUAUCAAUGAAUUAAUUACUAACUUGUAUCUUUGAUAUAUAUAGUUGCACUCAGUUUUUUUUUGUCGUCCUCAGUAAAUUGGAGCGUGAUGCAUCUCAGUCCCACAAUUUGAGCAUGCUAUUAGUCUGACAAUGUAUAAUUGUUCAAAGAUUCAAUGUGCAGAUCAUAUAUGCUGAGAGAUGUGUACUUUAGGAAGCUCAUCUUUGUCACAUUUGCUCGUUCAUAAUCUACUCUUACCUAGAAAGUUCGGAUGCAUAAGUGUUAUAGUUUUGUAUGAUCAUAUUGGCAGAUUUAAAAUGACCAUGUUUUAUUUGCAUUUUCAGUUACAGCUGGACUGCAGGAGCUUGGUCAAGUUGCUGACAUAUGACGUGAAGGUCAUGGCAGCAACCAGUGGUCAGCAUGGUUGCAGCAGGUUAUCGUGAUGGGCGACCCAACCGCACAGGCAUAAUGUAAGCCACCGCAUUGAACUGAACCGUUUUUUCACAUGGUUGCGAACUAUGAGCUCACUACACAAGAUUAAGCUUAUUAUAAUACGCCAUUAGAUUUGCAACUGAUUUGAGAUUGAGUGUUAGAUUUGGAACGGGACCAUAUGUACCCCUAAAAUGUAGAAUUCUCCAUUCAGAUCGAUGCCAGUAUCAUUCAGUGAAAUUUUGCCACUUGGUAAUGCGCAUCCACGCUCCUGUCAUUUUUAGAGACGAUCGAUCAUUUUUCUCUAAUUUUUAAUUUGAGGUGCUAAUCAGAAAAUAUGCUAAUAGAAGCACACAAAGCUUUAUUUUGAACUAGAAGGACUAAUGUUCGCUUUCCAGGAAGGACAGUAUGCAUUUUUUGAUCUGGUGUUCUUGAUGCUCUGUUUUGUGUUUCCGACCAGUUGAAGUGCAAAAUGGACAAUGGAUAAUAUAAAGUAGGAUUGAUUUUUUUACUUACUCCAUUUUCAGCUGUAAGAUUCGUAUGUGGAAAUGCAUGUCUGCUCCAUUUUUAGUUUAGGUUAGCUAGUUUUCACUAUAUGUCACAGUGAUUCAUAAACCUUUCUGAUAUCUGAAACUUUUCUAAUUUCGUUAUGUCAAAAGGACCAGCUUAGAUGUCUUAUAUGCAGUCGUACAUAUAUCUUUCUGCUAAGCAUUAUGCUUUAAAAUAAUCUACUUGUUCAGUAUCACAAGUCUGACUAAUCCUCAAUGGAGUUUUUGAUUAUUUUAUAUGCUUUUCUUUUUCAGAUUUAUUUGGGUGCACAUGUGCUGCUGCAUCUUAGAUGUAAGUACUCGUGCCUGAUGGAGGAUAUGAGUAAUGUCUGACGAACUUCCUGCAGUAACCUGCAAGACCCAAGAAGCUCCUCAAUUCUUUGGCAUUAGUUGGUUGUGGCCAAUUUGUAAUGGAGGUGAUCUGUCUCUGGCCAAAAGAACACUUGGAUAGUUUAACUUGCCAUUGGUCAGCAGCCAGCAAUUGGAGUACAGCUCUGAGGUGGGCAAGAUGCUCUUCGAAGGUUUUGCUGUAUACUAAGAUGUCAUCGAAGAAGACCAGAACACAUUUCCUGAGCAAUGGCUUGAGAGUCGAGUUCAUAGCGCCUUGGAAAGAAGCAGGAGCCCCACAUAAUCCAAAUGACAUCACCAUGAAUUCAAAAUGACCAAAGUGAGUUUGGAAGGCUGUUUUGAAUUCCUCUCCAGAUUUCAUUCGGAUUUGGUGAAAGCUAGAAUUAAGGUCCAGGGAAGAAAACCAACUUGCUCCAGACAGCUCAUCAACAAGUUCAUCAAAAAUAGGAAUGGGAAAUUGACCACGAAUUGUGAGUGUCGACACAUGGUCGCCAGGAACCAUCCUUUUUCUUGACUAGCAACAGUGGGGAAGAAAAGGGGCUAGUAAUGGGUCUAAUAAUUCCCUUGUCGAGCAUCUCUUGAAUUUGCUUUUCAAUUUCAUCUUUAAGGGCUGGUGGAUAGCGGUAUGGCCGAAUAAAAACAGGUUUUGCUCCAGGCACCAGAGGGAUGAAAUGAUCAAAUAGUCUAGGCGGUGGCAAGCCAUCUAUAGGGGCAAAGACUGCAGCAAACUCUGAAAGGAGGGCAGCAAUUUGUGGGGGGAGGUCUUGCCCAUUGGGAUCUGGUUGGUGAGAAGAAUCAAUGGGACAAACUUGAACCAUGAGGGUAUUUGGAUCAGAAGAGAGACCAUGCAGAACUGCUGAAGACCCAUGGUAAGGUAUGGACAUCCAUUUGAGUUUCUAGUGCACUUUCAUUGGGCUGAACUUCUCAAGCCAAUCCAUUCCUAAUAUAAGAUCAUAGUGGUCCAAGGGAAUAAUCUUGAUGUCAGAAACAAACUGAACUCCUGAAUAAACCAUGUCCCAUUUGGGAUAUGGGCCACACAUUGUAAGACAGCACCAUUAGCAACCUGAACCCGAACAGAGUCAGACAAGGGAACCACCCAUCCAGUUUGUGAGUAAUGUGGUGACUGAGGAAAGUAUGGGAGCUGCCUGAGUCAACUAAAAUUUUCAGAGGUAUAUUCUGGAUUGAUCCUUCCAAUUGCAUGGUGCGAGGGCCCUCGGUACCAGCUGAUGUAUCUUUGGAGAGUGCUAGAAAGAGCUGUUCCUAAAAAUGAUGAUCAGAACCAGCAUAAUUGACACUGUCAGGUCCCUGGGUGACUUUUGAAUGGCGUUGAGCUGUACAGUAGCUGAACACUUGUGGCCAUGGUGCCAUUUUCGGCACAUUUGUCACACAGUCCUCGAGCCCGCCGAUAAGCUCGAAGGGAAGCAAACUUGUCCAACUAAGACUUGUUGAAAUCUGUAGGAUGAGAGGCUGCAAUAGUAUUGGAAGGAGACAUCACAGCCUUGUCAAGACGGGGAGGGGUUGGCAGAGGUAAUGGUCCCCUUGGCGGAGGUCUUGGAGGAAAUCCCGGUUCGAGACGACGCCAAUCCCGUCGUUUGUAAGGAUCCGCCACUUCUUCCUGCAGCAAAGCAAGAGUGCAAUCAGUAUCGAGAGUGGAAGGAUGCUGAACUAGAACAGUGGAGCGAAUAUCAUCAUGUAAGCCAUCAAUAAAAUGAGUGAUGUAAUAUAGUUGAUCAAUAAAGUGGCCAUAAGCUAUGAGCUGAUCUAUUAAUUCAGUAAACUUGGCAACAUAUUCAGCAACGGUGCCAGUUUGCUUGAUGUGAAACAAUUGUCGGAUUAGGAGCUCUUGUUGGUCUCGCCCAAAUCUAUCAAUUAACAUAACACUGAAUUCAGUCCAGGGAACUGUUUUAACUGUCUGUCCACUGAUAAAACCCAACGAGAGGCGGCACUAGAUACCUCAAAUUGCAUGACAGCAACCUUAACCCAAAUUUUAGGAUCGACGCGGUACAUCUCAAAGUAGCCCUCUUAUCUAGAUAGCCACAAAUUAGGAUUGUGUCCUCAAAAACAGGAGACUGUAGUUUGGGUAAAUUGCGAAGAUGCACACUAUCCUGAUAGAAAUCGUCCUGAUGAUUUCCAUAAGGGCGCGAAUGCGAACGAGGAAAAGUAGGGUUGGGGAUGGGAGACACACCCUUGACCGGGAUUGAGGUAUGGGUGAAUACUGACCCAUACCCGUCAUCCCGGUGUAUUUGAUCGACGCGGUGCCCAUGAGGGCUGUCGGUGGUGAGAUCCGAAGCAGAUGGGCGCUCGGACGCCGACUGAGGCUUGGGGAAGAGGCCGGGUUCCGUGGACGCAGAGUCGCGUACGGAACAGUCCCAAUGGCGAGUCAGCUUGCCGAGUUCAAGCUUGACGUCAUCGAUGGCGGCGUCGACCUGGGGGCGCCAUUCUUCGGAAACCUUGGACGCGGCCUCGAGCUUGACGAUGUGGUCACCAUGGAGGCGCUCCGCUUCCAGGAAGCGUUGCUCCCACUUGAGGUCGCUCUCCGCAAAACGCUUGUGGAGUUCGUCGGAGAAGCACUUGUGGAUUUCGUCGAGGAGAAUUUUGGUGUUGGGAUCCAUCGCUCCUGCGCGUUUCUGCAGUCGCGUGAAGUGGUGGUGGGGAGGGAGGGGAUCCAGGAUCGGGACUCUGAUACCAGGAUGUUAGCAGCCGAGUAGUGGGGAGGGAAUCGGCAGCGAGGAAGAAGAAGGAUAGGGAGGAACGACGAAGGUUUAGAUGAGUUUUGUUCUUGUUCUUGCAUACAUGCGCACAUCGGCGCCGCGCUGCUGUUUAUCUUCAGCUGAGCGCAUCACGCACGCAACUCACACGCGAGCACUUACAUGGGCCUUUUCCACUCUGAGCCUGAGAUUCGGACAUUAGGGAUGAUGGGCCGUAGGGAACGGCGAGGCCCAGCUUGGACCUUCUCCGCUGGCUUGUCAGUAGCAGACGCAGAUGCAGCAUGAUCAGACGUCUUGACACAAGCAUGCCAGCAAGCUAAGAACAACUCGUCCUUAUCUUUAUCUACAUCCAUCUUGGGUAAUAUGUCGACCUAUCGAGGCUUCGCUACCAGGUCCUAUGCCAUCCUCCUGUGCGGCGUGUGGACUGUGGAGCACCCUCCUGGAGUCCUUCCCAGUACAAUGCUCGUGGGCACUUCAAUUUUGCGAUCUUCAACUGUUGAAUGCUCAAAAUUUCUCAGUGGAGGUUCUUAUAUGUUGAACAUGUCGUGUCACAAUAAUUUCAAUAUAAGCUGGCAAUCACAAAAUCAUUUUAUUCAAAUAGCAAUAGGUUUGUAUUUAAUACCAUGUCUGUCACGAAAUAUUUGUAUUCAAAUUAUAAAGUACUUGUUUUUAAGACCAGUGCCAAGAUGCGUUAGCUAAGAUGUAUUCAAAUUAUACGUGGAAAAAACACAUAGAGUUAUAUUUUAUUUCACUUGGUGUUAGCUAAAGCGAAUUAGCUAAAACAAAUAUGCCCUGCACUUCUUCCAUCUUGGCGAGCUGUCCUCCUGGUCUGCGUCUGGAAACCAGCUCUUGUUGUCUUCGCUAAUUCCGUGGCAUCUACGGUGGCACCGGCUCUAGGCACGUCGAGGAAUAGGAGGAAGCGCCGCUCCUCGUCGGCGUAGAGCUCACUGACGUCCACCGUGGUGGUGCUGCCCUCCUCGUCGACACGGCUCUCGUAGCGGCCGGACUUGACCGCGUGGAGGCGCACGCCUGGGUGAAGGCACUCAACAGAGAUGUGCGCCCUCUACAAGAUGAUGGAGAGGAGUCCACCGUCAUCAAAACUGCUGCUGUGCGGUUCCAAUAGAUGGCGUGCGCGGUGGAUGGCCGGUCGGUCUGCAGGUUUGUCGCCCGUCAAAAAAAAAAAGGACGACGGUCUGCGGGGUUCGCUCACGUGGGACGGUGCGGGGAGGGGGACGGGGCUCAGGUACGAAAUAAGCUAUACCACCCCCUAUAAUUUUCAAUGUAAGUUAACAUUCUAUAUCAAUGAUCGAGGAUAGCAAGCACCACCAUUCUGACACAUGGCCAGCAUGGUGUUCCUCCUCCUCCUCAUUGUCGCCGGGGUCCUUUUCAUCGUAGGGCGGCGGCGGGGAUCAAGUGGGAGUCGUUCAAGGAUGAGCCCCGCUGCUCCAUUGUCUUUGACAGGUUCAGCUCCAGCCGCCACUGUUGGGUGUCUAUCUCCGUCAUCGGCGCCAAGGCUUCAUCCACGCACCCCGAGCCAGACCCGUCACAGCUAGGCUUCUUCCUCCUCUCCAACGUGGCUCUCUUCAAGGCCAUCAUCCUUGAGCUGCCGCUGCCCAUGGAUGUCCCACCCUUAAAUUUUUGAAUUUCAGGAUAUGAUUAAAAUAGAUAAUUAAACAAUAAUUUUCUCAUAAUUUUAAAAAUUUUCCCAACAUUUAUUUUUUUUCUUCUUUACAGGAAAUUUAGUAUAGGAAAAAUAAUUGUUUGCUUUUCUAAAUUAAAUAAUGUUGUUCUAUGUGUUGUGCAUUCAUGCCAAUGCAUCUUGGUGUUUCUUGAGUGCAAAAGUUUUAAAAUUACGUUUAGACGAUGUCUAGACCCUUCUGAGAAUUUUUCAGCUUUUACUGGAAUUUAUUCUCCUUUUUUCUAGAGCUAACUCCAAUUUUUGGAUGGUUCUAGAAUUCUUUUCACGAGCUUCAAAUAUUUUAUUUGGGUUUCUCAUAUCCCAAUCUACCUGCAGGAUUUUUCCUGGAAUUUUUGGGAUUUUCAAAGUAUUUUUUUGACUUAAUUGAUUUAUCUAGAUUUAUUUGUACACAGGAAAAUAUUUCUGGAGAAAAGAAGAAAUCCUAACCCUAUGGGCCGAGCCCUUGAGGCCCGACCCUCUCCGGCCUGCCCAGCCGGCCUGCUUCAGGCCCGGCCGAGGCCCAUCUGGCCGUCGCGCGUAGGUGUUAUAAACAUGCAUGUUGUUCUUUAGUGGGGUGUAAUUUUACCUAGUUGUUUCCUUAUUUUAGAUACAUGCUUGAGAUGAAGCAUGUAUAAAGUAUGAUGAAAUUCUUCAAAUUUCUCUAUUAUCACAGGUGUUUUCUUCACACAAGGCUUUAUUACUUAUUAGUAGAACAUUUAUUAUUUGUAUAUUUAACUGAUGAAAAUAUCUAUCGCAUAUUUAAGAUCACGGCCGGUCCUGAUUCGGGUGGCAGAAAAUCCCAUUGCCGCCCCCUAAUUUCAUAUGCCAAGAUUGACUAUGGGCGCUAAGUGUUAACUCCGACUCCAUUAAGUCAACAAUACAGGAGCCUGUCAGAAACUAGCUCCCCAAGUGUUAGUACCAAGUGCUUCAAAUUUUAGUUCAGUAUGGCAUUUCUAGAUAUAUAGUUUUUUUAUAUAUGCAUCUAGAUAUAACGUAUAUUUAGAUAUAACGUAUAUCUAGAUGCAUAACAAAAAUCGUGAACAUAGAAAAGUUAAAAUAACCUACAAUUUGGAAUGGGAGGAGUAUUGUGAAAAAUAUGUGGUAGUUAGCUUUAUGUACAUUUAUUAUCGUAUCAACCACAGAUCUGUUGCGUAGCACAAUUGUGGACGACGUUUGACAUCAGCUCAUACUCGGCAGCCUCUCUCUUAAUGUUGCUGCCAUCGUCGUGCUGAUCCUGUUGUCCAUGGGGCCCCCCGGCACCACCUUAGACGCAAGAUUGAUGAUUCAUGCGUGUUACUUCAUAAUAAUAUUGCUACUGCAUAAUCAUGAUGUCUCCACGUAAGAAGUGGUAGAAUUAUGUGCUCCUAAAAGAUUUUUUUUCUAACUUGGAGGGGGCCAUGGCCGACUUUGUCUAGUACUGAGCUCCGCCCCUGAUCAACUGCUUGCAGAUGUAUCUAUCUUAAGAAAUUAUAACAAUGAUCAAGAAAAGAAAACAUCUCACCGUUUAUCCCAGGGGACCGAAUUAUGAUUAUGCAAAUUAAAAUAGCAUGAUUUAGGUCUAUGAUAACACACGGCAUGACAUCAAGAAAUCCUACAAAGCUCAUCAUGGAGUUCUUGGGUUUUGCCCACGUCUAUCCAUAUUGAAGGCAAAUUAAGAAAAACCAUGGGAACUCACAUGGUAGCUCUUGUCCUCCAGCCGUAUGCCUCAUUAUUCUACUUGAAUCCGGGUUACCUUGGCGGCUUUGGCCGCGCCAAGGAAUAUAGGUAAACCAUCACACUAAUUGUCCUAGACAGCCAACUGCCAAGUAUAGACAGCCUAGGAGAAACAAUCUACUUUGGCUGACUACCAAGAAUUAUUUCCUUUGCUGUUUGGCUGCCGAGCUAACUAGGCAACGUUACAAAUUUCCAAUGUUUUAAGAAAAUAUUUCAACCGCUAACAAAAAAAACUAACGCAAGGUAUCCACGUCGAUGUGUGUCACCAUGCAGAACACAUUUACAUGUAUGUAGAUCAAACACAUAGUUAAAGUUAAGGUUUCAACUAAACACGCAUCAAACACGCAAGUGGAAAAACUAUGUAUCAGGAAAGAAAUGUAUAUAAAGUAAUCAGUGACUAAAUUAUAUAAGGACAAGAUUUAGAGAAGUAUUUAUAUAAGAGUAUAGUAUUAGAAUAUGAACAAGAGAGAGCAAAGAUAAGUCAUACUGAUUUAGAGCACUUGCGCAAAUUGCCAACUCCCUUUUGUCAACGGUACGACGGUACUCAUUGGAAAUUAUUAGCACCCAAUGCAAGUAGUCAUUCUAUGUAUCCAAUUAGCUCUAUGCACAUCAAUUUGUUGGCGUAUCAGCCACAGAUGUCUACUUGCACCAUCUUGUGCAUACUCUGGUCUGACAUUGGACAAACUCGAUCGAUCGUUGGCUACAAAUAGCGCAGCAUGUGUUAUCCCAACAAGGCCAUCACGUACUUAGCUGAUACUUCUCCCCUCUUCCUCUAGGUACCCACGCUACAUCGAGUCCUGUUGAACAAUGGCUUCUGCUAAUGGCGCCGUGCUUCAGAAGGUGGUUCCUGUCGCCACCUGCAUCGCGCUGGUCCUGUUGUCCAUGGGUUCGCCGGCGAUGGCUGACAUCCAGGACGACUGCCGCCCAACUUGUGUUCCAAUCUGCCAAGGCUUAGCUACGAAUGUGUGCAAUGCCGUCAUCGAUCUCAUCCAUAUCCAGCUUCCUGUGGAUAUCUUCCCGACGUGCAAAGUGCGGGUCUCUGCAAUUUGUGAUCCCGUCUGUAUCAACGUAUGCAGCCUCAACACCCUGUCGCCUGGCGCCCCGACACCGGCGCCGGCCAGCACCGCCGCGCCACCACCAUGCAAGCCAUGAUGCUGCCUGCGUGCUACUUCUUAAAUAUUACUACUACAUAAUAUCUAUGUAAUAAAGUGUCCUAUAGCUCCGGGUAUGUGUGCCAACUGCCGGCCAGAUGAAGCGUGCCAGUAAUGCGUUGUCAUCAUGAGCUAAGCCUCAGAAUAUGUAUCUGAUCCGGUGUUUAAUGGGAGUAUAAAUUGCCCCCUUAUUGUUGUGGUUGUUUUCUAGUUACUCAUCUGUGUGUGCUGUACUCUAUACUCCCUGUUGGGGAACCGAUCUCCGUCUAACCCCAUCCCUGCCAAAGUGUUAAGUUCUUUGUCUUUCAGUGUCUAGAGUCUAAGACCUUGUACAAAGAUCGAAGGUGCUGUGGCCAGGGGUAGUAAUGGAUCAUGGCCUUCAUGCCUCCUUCACAAUUCAACUUAGUCCUAUUUAUUUUUAGUUCAAAAUCAUAUAAUAUUAUGACCCGAUUCUUAUUGA